rnacentral:rRNA from 1 species
CCUACGGGGUGCUGCAGUGGGGAAUAUUGGACAAUGGGCGAAAGCCUGAUCCAGCCAUGCCGCGUGUGUGAAGAAGGCCUUCGGGUUGUAAGGCACUUUCAGUGGGGAAGAAAGCCUUGGGGCUAAUACCCUCGAGGAAGGACAUCACCCACAGAAGAAGCACCGGCUAACUCCGUGCCAGCAGCCGCGGUAAUACGGAGGGUGCGAGCGUUAAUCGGAAUUACUGGGCGUAAAGCGCGCGUAGGCGGUCUGAUAAGCCGGUUGUGAAAGCCCCGGGCUCAACCUGGGAACGGCAUCCGGAACUGUCAGGCUAGAGUGCAGGAGAGGAAGGUAGAAUUCCCGGUGUAGCGGUGAAAUGCGUAGAGAUCGGGAGGAAUACCAGUGGCGAAGGCGGCCUUCUGGACUGACACUGACGCUGAGGUGCGAAAGCGUGGGUAGCAAACAGGAUUAGAUACCCUGGUAGUC